AGUGAUGCUUGGCGUCAAAAAUAAAACUUGUUUGCCAAAUGACUGUUGUAAAAUUAAUUAUUUCAAUGGAUAAAUUCUCGGAUUCUUUGGAAAUCGAAGUAUCGUUAAUUUUUAGCUAAUUUACCUCUUGCAAACCCAUAGGCCAGUAGCCCAAUAUUUUAGCCAAAAAAAUAUCAAGCAAACCUGGAAACUUCUCAUACAGAAAGGUUUGCACAUGUAUUAAAGAAAUCUGGAGGUUUAUCUCAUAUUAUUUUGGCAAUUUUAAUAUCUCAAGAGUAAAUUAUAAUUAUGUUUUAUUUCUUUAAAAGAAGGGAAAAAGACAGUUAAAUUUGAUUUUAGGCCUAGGUAGACAGCAGCAUGAUAAAAUUUAAUGCCGCAAUCUGGCUGGAUAUGCAUGGAUAGUCAUGGGUGCAUUGUGUUAGGGAUGAAAGUGGAUUUAAUGAUAUCUUGAUAUAGAAUAACUCAUAUAUAUUUCUAGUGGUACUUGAUUGAAAUCAUACGUUAAUUUUUGAAAGUAAAUUUUUAACGGGAUGUAUAAAAAUAUUCAAAUUAUGAAUGAGAUAAAACAGUAUUUUGAUCGUUAUUCCAAGGACCUGAUACAAUAUGCUUCAAAAAAUCCUGGAACCUUCGUGUUAUACGUUCUUAUUAUACUUACACCAUUCUUUUUACUAAGCGCAUAUCUAUCGAUGAAACUAUCAAA